CUUGUACUCCCUUCGUUCGAAAAUACUUGUCAUUGAAAUGGAUGUAUCUAGAUGUAUUUUAGUUCUAGACACAUCCAUUUUGAUGACAAGUAAUUCCGGAUGGAGGGAGUACUUG
rnacentral:pre_miRNA from 1 species